AACGAACGCUGGCGGCAGGCCUAACACAUGCAAGUCGAACGGAUCCUUCGGGAUUAGUGGCGGACGGGUGAGUAACACGUGGGAACGUGCCCUUUGGUUCGGAACAACUCAGGGAAACUUGAGCUAAUACCGGAUGUGCCCUUCGGGGGAAAGAUUUAUCGCCAUUGGAGCGGCCCGCGUCUGAUUAGCUAGUUGGUGAGGUAAAGGCUCACCAAGGCGACGAUCAGUAGCUGGUCUGAGAGGAUGAUCAGCCACAUUGGGACUGAGACACGGCCCAAACUCCUACGGGAGGCAGCAGUGGGGAAUCUUGCGCAAUGGGCGAAAGCCUGACGCAGCCAUGCCGCGUGAAUGAUGAAGGUCUUAGGAUUGUAAAAUUCUUUCACCGGGGAUGAUAAUGACGGUACCCGGAGAAGAAGCCCCGGCUAACUUCGUGCCAGCCGCCGCCGUAAUAC
rnacentral:rRNA from 1 species